ACCUCAUGUCCAUUGGCACUCUCCUGGCUUACUCGUUGGUGGCUGCCUGUGUGUUGGUCUUACGGUAUCAGCCAGAGCAGCCUAACCUGGUAUACCAGAUGGCCAGUACUUCUGACGAGUUAGAUCCAGCAGACCAAAAUGAAUUGGCAAGCACCAAUGAUUCCCAGCUGGGCUUUUUACCAGAGGCAGAGAUGUUCUCUUUGAAAACCAUACUCUCACCCAAAAACAUGGAGCCUUCCAAAAUCUCUGGGCUAAUUGUGAACAUUUCAACCAGCCUCAUAGCUGUUCUCAUCAUCACCUUCUGCAUUGUGACCGUGCUUGGAAGGGAGGCUCUCACCAAAGGGGCGCUGUGGGCAGUCUUUCUGCUCACAGGGUCUGCCCUCCUCUGUGCCGUGGUCACGGGCGUCAUCUGGAGGCAGCCCGAGAGCAAGACCAAGCUCUCAUUUAAGGUGAGCAGCUCGGCCUAGGGAAGGAACCCUGGUACACAGACCCUGGCCCUCCUGAUGCCUGGCCAGCCCUGCGUGGGCUCAGCCGGGCCUGGGUGCUCCCGAGGAAGGUUUUUGCUAGCCAGCUUCAGGUAAGAUGGGGCAGGGGUCCUGAAGGCACAGAGAGGACCAGACCCUGGAAGGAGGCAGCAGCCCUUCUCCCCUGGACGUUUCCCUGAGUAGUCAAGGGCAGGCUGACACCUUCCUGCAUGACACAGGCCAAGGGAGACCUCGCCAGUCC
rnacentral:sRNA from 1 species